CUUCUACCAAGAGUUCACCACCAGCGAACUCAAAAAGUCACUGGACCAGUAGCAAGUACAUACAUAUAUAUACCAAAGUUGUUAAGCAAGAAAGAUCUAGCUCUUGUGUAAUAAAAAUAACGAUUAUUUUGAGAUCGAAAGCGACGGAAACCAGCGGCCAACAACAAUUGCACUCAAGAAUAAAAACACCAGCAACAAAAUACAGGUCCAGAAUUGAUGUUAGGCGCACCAGAAUAUGGCUAUUUUACGAAUAUUCGUUUUUGAAGGCUUGAACAUUCGGAGGCGUGUGGACAUACAAUUGGCACUAAGGCUAUGUCACAAUUUACCCAUGACUACUUGGCAAUUAAAGGGAAUUAUCACCGUAGUCGAGCAUUUGUAACUGUAGAGGUCUGGUUUACUUUUGGCUUUGUAGAAAUUCUACAGCUAAUCAGAAUGUUUGUUUUGGCUCAACGUCUUAAUUUUGUAAGAAAAUAGACCAUUGAAGUUUUCUUAUACUUAGUAGAUUUUUUUUUUUAUAUCUAAAGUGAGGAAGCCAACAAUUAUAUGUAAAGGAAAAAAGAACCAUUGACGUCAAGCAAUGCUUCAAUAAAAUUUAUGAUCGCACGAGUAAAUAUAAGAAUAAGAAUUAUUUCAUAAAGCAAAGAAUAAACAAUGCGCAAAUAA